rnacentral:rRNA from 1 species
AUGAAGAACGUAGCGAAAUGCGAUACUUGGUGUGAAUUGCAGAAUCCCGUGAACCAUCGAGUCUUUGAACGCAAGUUGCGCCAUAAGCCAUUAGGCUAAAGGCACGUUUGCCUGGGCGUCACGC